CAGUCGCCGCGGGAUACGUAGGUGGCAAGCGUUGUCCGGAAUUAUUGGGCGUAAAGCGCGCGUAGGCGGUUUUUUAAGUCUGAUGUGAAAGCCCACGGCUCAACCGUGGAGGGUCAUUGGAAACUGGAAAACUUGAGUGCAGAAGAGGAAAGUGGAAUUCCAUGUGUAGCGGUGAAAUGCGCAGAGAUAUGGAGGAACACCAGUGGCGAAGGCGACUUUCUGGUCUGUAACUGACGCUGAUGUGCGAAAGCGUGGGGAUCAAACAGGAUUAGAUACCCGAGUAGUCCCUGUCUCUUAUACA
rnacentral:rRNA from 1 species